GGCUAUAGCAAUAUAGCUAGUGGCGACCGGGUGAGUAACACGUGACUAACCUACCCUAAACUGGGGAAUAACGGAGGGAAACUUCCGCUAAUACCGCAUGUUGAAACGGUCUCGCAUGGGACUGUUUUGAAAGAUUUAUCGGUUUAGGAUGGGGUCGCGCCCUAUUAGCUUGUUGGUGAGGUAACGGCUCACCAAGGCGACGAUGGGUAGCUGGUCUGAGAGGAUGAUCAGCCACACUGGGACUGAGAUACGGCCCAGACUCCUACGGGAGGCAGCAGUGAGGAAUAUUGCGCAAUGGGCGAAAGCCUGACGCAGCAACGCCGCGUGAAGGAUGAAGGUGCUUUGCAUUGUAAACUUCUGUAGAGAGGGAAGAAUCCCCGACUUGUUCGGGAUUGACGGUACCUCUAAAGUAAGCACCGGCUAAUUCCGUGCCAGCAGCCGCGGUAAUACGGAAGGUGCAAGCGUUGUCCGGAUUGACUGGGUGUAAAGGGCGUGCAGGCGGAGGAGUAUGUCGGGAGUGAAAUCGUGCGGCUUAACCGUAUCAAUUGCUUCCGAAACUAUUCCCCUUGAGUGCAAGAGAGGCAGAUAGAAUUCCUGGUGUAGCGGUGGAAUGCGUAGAGAUCAGGAAGAAUACCGGAGGCGAAGGCGGUCUGCUGGCUUGUAACUGACGCUGAGGCGCGAAAGUGCGGGGAGCAAACAGGAUUAGAUACCCUGGUAGUCCGCAC
rnacentral:rRNA from 1 species